rnacentral:misc_RNA from 1 species
CGAUCUUGGCCGGGGGUUCACAGGACCACGUUACUGGAAGUCGAAAGCGGCGGGUUGGCUCACGGGUUGCCGGGCCGGACGGCACGGGUUGGACGCGCCGCCAGCGACCAGCGGGCGGGGCAACGGAGCCGGGCGCGGUCAGCCGAAGAAGCCGACGCCGACCGCGCGCCAGGCGUCGCAGGCGUGGGGGAAGGCCCGGCAGGUCCAGUAGAUCACCAGGUGCGACUCGGCCGCCAGCAGGAACUUGAGCGCCUUCCCCAGGAAGCAGGCCAGGAUGAACGUCC